AUUGAACGCUGGCGGCAGGCCUAACACAUGCAAGUCGAACGAGUGGCGGACGGGUGAGUAAUGUCUGGGAAACUGCCUGAUGGAGGGGGAUAACUAAUGGAAACGGUAGCUAAUACCGCAUACCAUCGGAUGUGCCCAGAUGGGAUUAGCUAGUAGGUGGGGUAAAGGCUCACCUAGGCGACGAUCCCUAGCUGGUCUGAGCAGAUGACCAGCCACACUGGAACUGAUACACGGUACAGACGCCUAAGGUGGGUAGCAGGGGGGAAUAUUGCACAAUGGGCGCAAGCCUGAUGCAGCCAUGCCGCGUGUAUGAAGAAGGCCUUCGGGUUGUAAAGUACUUUCAGCGGGGAGGCGUUACCCGCAGAAGAAGCACCGGCUAACUCCGGGCCAGCAGCCGCGGUAAUUC
rnacentral:rRNA from 1 species